AAAACAUGUCUUUUUGGGAUAAUAUAAAGUCUAAUCUGCCCACUGAUUUUAAUUAAAGGGCUGCAGUAUAUUGACUGUACAAAGGUAGCAUAAUCAUUAGUCAUUUAAUUGGUGACUUGUAUGAAAGAUUGGAUGAAGUAUAAACUGUCUUUUAUUUAUUUAUAAAAUUUAAUUUUUUUAUAAAAAAGUUAAAAUAAUUUAAAAAGACGAGAAGACCCUAUAGAGUUUUAUAAAUAAUUUGAAUAAGAAUAUAUUGAAAAUUAAAUUUAAAAUUAAGAUUAUUUAUUUUAUUGGGGUGAUAGAAAAAUAUAUAAAACUUUUUUUUUAAAAAAAAAACAUUUAUAAUUGAUUAAUUGAUCCAAUAAUAUUGAUUAUAAGAAAAAAUUACCUUAGGGAUAACAGCGUAAUUUUUUUUUUUAGUUCAAAUAAGAAAAAGAGUUUGCGACCUCGAUGUUGGAUUAAGAUAAAAAUUAGGUGUAGAAGUU
rnacentral:rRNA from 1 species